rnacentral:tRNA from 1 species
GCGGGCAAUCGAUUCACUGGAUCGAUUGCUUUCCGCCUCGCCUCGUCAGGCUCAUAACCUGAAGGCCGCAGGUUCAAAUCCUGCCCCCGCA